UACGUAGGGGGCAAGCGUUGUCCGGAUUUAUUGGGCGUAAAGAGCGUGUAGGCGGUCUGGUAGGUCCGUUGUGAAAACUCGAGCUCAACCUCGAGACGCCGAUGGAAACCCUCAGACUAGAGUCCGGAAGAGGAGAGUGGAAUUCCGUGGUGUAGCGGUGAAAUGCGCAGAUAUCAGGAAGAACACCCCGUGGCUAAGGCGGCUCUCUAGUACGUGACUGACGCUGAGACGCGAAAGCGUGGGGAGCGAACAGG
rnacentral:rRNA from 1 species